rnacentral:rRNA from 1 species
GACGAACGCUGGCGGCGUGCUUAACACAUGCAAGUCGAACGGUAAGGCUCCAGCUUGCUGGGGUACACGAGUGGCGAACGGGUGAGUAACACGUGGGUGACCUGCCCUGCACUUCGGGAUAAGCCUGGGAAACUGGGUCUAAUACCGGAUAGGACCAUGGUGUGGAUACUGUGGUGGAAAGUUUUUUCGGUGUGGGAUGGGCCCGCGGCCUAUCAGCUUGUUGGUGGGGUAAUGGCCUACCAAGGCGGCGACGGGUAGCCGGCCUGGGAGGGUGGACGGCCACAUUGGGACUGAGACACGGCCCAGACUCCUACGGGAGGCAGCAGUGGGGAAUAUUGCACAAUGGGCGGAAGCCUGAUGCAGCGACGCCGCGUGGGGGAUGACGGCCUUCGGGUUGUAAACUCCUUUCACCAUCGACGAAGGGUUUCUGACGGUAGAUGGAGAAGAAGCACCGGCUAACUACGUG